AAGUGUAGAUAAGAUGUUUACAGUAAGAGUGAGACCUAUCAGCUAGUUGUUAAGGUAAUGGCUUAACAAGGCUGUGACGGGUAACGGUAUUACUUUGUAAUAUUCCGGAGAAGGAGCCUGAGAGACGGCUACUAAGUCUAAGGAUUGCAGCAGGGGCGAAACUUGACCUAUGGAUUUUAUCUGAGGCAGUUAUGGGAAGUAAUAUUAUAUUGUUUCAUAUUUUAAAAGUAUAUGAGGUGAUUAAUUGGAGGGCAAAUCAAGUGCCAGCAGCCGCGGUAAUACUUGUUCCAAGAGUGUGUAUGAUGAUUGAUGCAGUUAAAAAGUCCGUAGUUUAUUUUUUUAAUAAGCAA
rnacentral:rRNA from 1 species